CUUGGUCAUUUAGAGGAAGUAAAAGUCGUAACAAGGUCUCCGUUGGUGAACCAGCGGAGGGAUCAUUACCGAGUUUACAACUCCCAAACCCCUGUGAACAUACCUUACUGUUGCCUCGGCGGAUCAGCCCGCUCCCGGUAAAACGGGACGGCCCGCCAGAGGACCCCUAAACUCUGUUUCUAUAUGUAACUUCUGAGUAAAACCAUAAAUAAAUCAAAACUUUCAACAACGGAUCUCUUGGUUCUGGCAUCGAUGAAGAACGCAGCAAAAUGCGAUAAGUAAUGUGAAUUGCAGAAUUCAGUGAAUCAUCGAAUCUUUGAACGCACAUUGCGCCCGCCAGUAUUCUGGCGGGCAUGCCUGUUCGAGCGUCAUUUCAACCCUCAAGCCCUCGGGUUUGGUGUUGGGGAUCGGCGAGCCUUUCUGGCAAGCCGGCCCCGAAAUCUAGUGGCGGUCUCGCUGCAGCCUCCAUUGCGUAGUAGUAAAACCCUCGCAACUGGAACGCGGCGCGGCCAAGCCGUUAAACCCCCAACUUCUGAAUGUUGACCUCGGAUCAGGUAGGAAUACCCGCUGAACUUAAGCAUAUCAAUAAGCGGAGGAAAAGAAACCAACAGGGAUUGCCCUAGUAACGGCGAGUGAAGCGGCAACAGCUCAAAUUUGAAAUCUGGCUCUCGGGCCCGAGUUGUAAUUUGUAGAGGAUGCUUUUGAUGCGGUGCCUUCCGAGUUCCCUGGAACGGGACGCCAUAGAGGGUGAGAGCCCCGUCUGGUUGGAUGCCAAAUCUCUGUAAAGCUCCUUCAACGAGUCGAGUUGUUUGGGAAU
rnacentral:sRNA from 1 species